rnacentral:rRNA from 1 species
AUACGGAGGGUGCAAGCGUUACUCGGAAUCACUGGGCGUAAAGCGCGCGCGGGCGGCUAUUUAAGUUGGAUGUGAAAGCCUACGGCUCAACCGUAGAACUGCAUCCAAAACUAUUUAGCUAGAGUGUGGGAGAGGAAGAUGGAAUUAGUUGUGUAGGGGUAAAAUCCGUAGAGAUAACUAGGAAUACCAAAAGCGAAGGCAAUCUUCUGGAACACUACUGACGCUGAGGCGCGAAAGCGUGGGGAGCAAACAGGAUUAGAAACCCCAGUAGUCC